UUUGUUUAUUUAAUUAUUUAAUAUAAAUAAUUUUAUUGUAUUUUUGUCUUAGUAUAUUUUAUAGAAUUGAUUUUUUAAAUUAUAGUUUAUUGGUAAUGUAAGUGUUUUAUGAAAUAUUAUUUUAAAUUUUUUUAAGUAGAUUUUAUUUAUUGUACGUUUUGUAUCAGGGUUUAUCAAAAUUUUAGUAUUUAUUUUACUUGUCUCGAUUUGGGUUGAUUUAUAAAUAAUUUAUAGUUAAUGUAUCAUAAUUAUUAAUAAAUUAUUUAUAGAAAUGAGAUGUUAAUCGUUUCCCAAGAUAUCUAGUUUCUUAAGAAAAAAUUUAAUUUUUUAAAGUUAUUUGUUUUUAUUUUAUUUUUUAAGUAAAAAUAUUAACUUAUUUAUUCUUUAAGGGAUAAGCUUUGAAGUUAAUAACCUAUAAUUUAUUUUAUAGAAAUAUAAUAGUAAGCUUUAAACCAGCUAUCUUUAAGAUUACGUUUUAGUUCAUUAUCUUUUAUUUUGAUUUUAUAAAUAUUUUAGGUUUUUUAUUAAGAUUAUUAAUUUAAUUUUAAAAUUUUUGUAAUAAUGAUAGAAUUAGUAUAUAUAUUUGUAUUAAAUUUUUACCUUGUGAACUUAUUAUAAGGAACUAGGCAAAAUUGAUUUCCGCCUGUUUAUCAAAAACAUGUCCUCUUGUUUAUAUUUUGAGGUCUGGCCUGCUCACUGGGCGUAUUUUUAAAGAGCCGCGGUAUUUUGACCGUGCAAAGGUAGCAUAAUCAUUAGUCUCUUAAUUAGUGGCUGGAAUGAAUGGCUUGACGAGAAAUCAACUGUCUUUUAAUAAAUUUUUGAAUUUAACUUU